rnacentral:misc_RNA from 1 species
UCUCCGUUAGUGAACCAGCGGAGGGAUCAUUACAGGACUCGCAAGACUCCUACAACCCUGUGAACUUAACUAUAAGCACGUUGCUUCGGCGGGUGUCUCGGAGGGGGUUCUCCCUCCCCGAGACGCUAAACCCGCCGGCAGCCUACUAUACUCUGUCUCUUUGCGUUGGCAUCUCGAGUACAAUCAAACAAGUUAAAACUUUCAACAACGGAUCUCUUGGUUCUGGCAUGAUGAAGAACGCAGC